UUCCGUAGGUGAACCUGCGGAGGGAUCAUUACCGAGUUUACAACUCCCAAACCCAAUGUGAACGUUACCAAACUGUUGCCUCGGCGGGGUCACGCCCCGGGUGCGUCGCAGCCCCGGAACCAGGCGCCCGCCGGAGGAACCAACCAAACUCUUUCUGUAGUCCCCUCGCGGACGUAUUUCUUACAGCUCUGAGCAAAAAUUCAAAAUGAAUCAAAACUUUCAACAACGGAUCUCUUGGUUCUGGCAUCGAUGAAGAACGCAGCGAAAUGCGAUAAGUAAUGUGAAUUGCAGAAUUCAGUGAAUCAUCGAAUCUUUGAACGCACAUUGCGCCCGCCAGUAUUCUGGCGGGCAUGCCUGUCCGAGCGUCAUUUCAACCCUCGAACCCCUCCGGGGGAUCGGCGUUGGGGAUCGGGACCCCUCACACGGGUGCCGGCCCCGAAAUACAGUGGCGGUCUCGCCGCAGCCUCUCCUGCGCAGUAGUUUGCACAACUCGCACCGGGAGCGCGGCGCGUCCACGUCCGUAAAACACCCAACUUUCUGAAAUGUUGACCUCGGAUCAGGUAGGAAUACCCGCUGAACUUAAGCAUAUCAAUAAGCGGAG
rnacentral:rRNA from 1 species